rnacentral:lncRNA from 1 species
AUCAAUCACCCAAUUUUGCAUUGACAUGUGAACUGAAAGUAGAUGCUUAUCAUAAAAGACUUUUCCAUGAACUGUAUCAACACAGAGGGCCGCACAAAGUGGUGACAUCAAAUCAGCACAUGACGACACAGAAAUUAUGUCUCAACUUUGAUGGUCGUUUCUCACAUUGUUACUGGUAUAACCUGAUCUCCCUGAAAGGAUUUGUAGUUCUGGUUUGUUACACUGCUUGACCAAUUUUAGAGAUGCCAGGUGUAAACAGCAAAAUGAUAAGUCACUUUUAAGAAAGCUCUCUAUCACAAACGUAUAACCAAAAGUUCAAACCUAUGAGUACCCUAAGAUGCAUUUAUACCCAAAAGAUGAAAUGACCUGCUGGAACACAUCUUGAUUCAAAACUAAUUGUGACCUUUCCCAGUCAUUAUGUUGGUGCAGUGGGGUGUGCACUUAGAUAUCCAAGUUUAAGAUUGAUAGUGAUAACCACAACCAAUAAAUCCUUGUUGAUGUGAUAUGGCAUAACUAACUAGAGUAAAGAAAAAGCACUAUAAACCAAAUUAAUGCAUAGUGCGAAGAUACUAAUGGAGUAAUUUGGCUUUGGUGCAUGAGAAGCUGCAAUGUAAUAUGGCAGAUUGACUAUAUAAUUCAUUCAGCAAAACCUGCUUAAGAUUGGUUGGUGUCCCAGCUCUCACUAUAUCCUGUGCCAACCCAUACUGUAAAAAAGACACUAACUUAGCAUCUUGAGAACGUAGAUCGGAGAUACAACAGAAGAUUCCAAACUACUAUGAUACUAAGUCCAAAAUUCAUUAUCUUAUAUCUUGCUAAUUGCUCCUCUCACAAUUGUUUACUUUCACAAUAAUUCCACUGAGUUGUAACGUUGUUUUUCAAAACAAUUUGCUGACUCACUUGAAAGAUCGGUAAAUGAAAAGAACUUUACCUAUUUGAGCAAGUCCCCCAACUGUUGAAAAUGCCUGAAAAGCAUUUUCAAAACUCAAUUACACCACCGUAGUGAUCAAAUUCUACAUGUGCUCGCCGAGAUCUUCAGACAUGUACGCUCCAAACAGCGAUCGGCUGGUGAGCUAGCAUUCCCCUCUCGUAUUAAACUUAUGCUCUAGGCUCGAGUUCCAGCGAUGGCAACGGCACGUCGUCUGGGGUAGCUCGGUUAGACGGUUACUGCAGAUUCUGGAAGGGGUAUUUUUCGACAUUGGCCGAUUUCAUCCCAAUUAAUAAACACAGAAACUAGUGGAUGAAAUGGAGAAAUAGAAGAGCGGCUGAUCGGCGACGCUGACGAGCUGAAUGGAAGCUCAGAAAGUACGGGAAGAAAUAGAAUUUGAC